rnacentral:lncRNA from 1 species
AUGUAUAUAAACUCAAAGCACACUCUGCUUGUUGUAGUGAACAUGAUGAGCUCCUGCAGCGCCUCCUUUGGAGGACGGGUCCUACAACGCCUCCUUUGGAGGACGGGUCCUACAACGCCUCCUUUGGAGGACGGGUCCUACAACGCCUCCUUUGGAGGACGGGUCCUACAACGCCUCCUCUGGAGGACGGGUCCUACGGCGCCUCCUCUGGAGGACGGGUCCUACAAUGCCUCCUCUGGAGGACGGGUCCUACGGCGCCUCCUCUGGAGGACGGGUCUUACGGCGCCUCCUCUGGAGGACGGGUCCUACGGCGCCUCCUCUGGAGGAUGGGUCCUACGGCGCCUCCUCUGGAGGACGGGUCCUACAAUGCCUCCUCUGGAGGACGGGUCCUACGGCGUCUCCUCUGGAGAAUGGGUCCUACAAUGCCUCCUCUGGAGGAUGGGUCCUACGGCGCCUCCUCUGGAGGACGGGUCCUACAAUGCCUCCUCUGGAGGACGGGUCCUACGGCGCCUCCUCUGGAGGACGGGUCCUACAAUGCCUCCUCUGGAGGACGGGUCCUACGGCGUCUCCUCUGGAGGACGGGUCCUACAACGCCUCCUCUGGAGGACGGGUCCUACAACACCUCCUCUUGAGGACGGGUCUUACGGCGCCUCCUCUGGUGGAUUGGUCCUACUACGUCUCCUCUGGAGGACCGGUCUUACGGCGCCUCCUCUGGAGGACGGGUCUUACGGCGCCUCCUCUGGUGGAUGGGUCCUACUACGUCUCAUCUGGAGGACGGGUCUUACGGCGCCUCCUCUGGAGGACGGGUCUUACGGCGCCUCCUCUGGUGGAUGGGUCCUACUACGUCUCCUCUGGAGGACGGAUCUAAUGGCGCCUCCUCUGGAGGACGGAUCCUAUGGUGCCUCCUCUGUAGGACGGAUCUUACGGUGCCUCCUCUGUAGGACGGAUCUUACGGCGCCUCCUCUGGAGGACGGAUCCUAUGGUGCCUCCUCUGGAGGACGGGUCUUACGGUGCCUCCUCUGUAGGACGGAUCUUACGGCGCCUCCUCUGGAGGACGGAUCCUAUGGUGCCUCCUCUGUAGGACGGAUCUUACGGUGCCUCCUCUGUAGGACGGAUCUUACGGCGCCUCCUCUGGAGGACGGAUCUUACGGCGCCUCCUCUGGAGGACGGAUCCUAUGGUGCCUCCUCUGGAGGACGGGUCUUACGGUGCCUCCUCUGGAGGACGGGUCUUACGGCGCCUCCUCUGGAGGACGGAUCCUAUGGUGCCUCCUCUGUAGGACGGAUCUAAUGGCGCCUCCUCUGGAGGACCAGGAGCUCGUUUUUUAG